GAAAAAAUGUCUAAAAGCAAAUCAAGGAAAACUCGUUUUUAAAAUAGUCUGAAAUACGGAGGUCUCCCAUCAGAAAUGCCUUCAGCUGAUCUUCCAACAUUUCGUCAAGUAAUUCAGUUUUUCUAUUUCACUGUAAACAAUAACCAAAACAUUUCAAAACAGAAUCUACUAGAAGAGGUUGAAAAUUCUCUGAGUACUUUGUGGAAUAAAGUAAAGCCACGUCUUCCUCUUCUUCAGAGAAAUUCAAUCUUAAGAAAAUUACGAAAUCUUUUUGAAAGAGUAAAAUCUAUAAACCGAGGACGUUGUAAAUCUAAAAGUAAGGAGUAUCAAGAUUUGAUUUUAGAUAAACUCUUUGAUAUUUCAGCAUGUACUUGUGAAUUAGCAACUGUUUUAUGUAAUGACAGAGAUGUUAAGUGUAGCAUCAUCAAUUGCCAAGUAGAGCACAUCUUGUGUCUUUAUAAAACUAGAAAGGUAAAUGAUUCUGAGGAAGAAUAUAAUCCAGUAAAAAGUUCUCAAUAUAAUUUAAUGAAACUUGAUAGAUUUGCAAUGGAGGCUGUCAGGUAUAUAAAAUUUUUAUACAUAUUGAGUUUAGAUAAGAAUUUUUUAUAUAUACUAUAUUAAAAGUGUGAAAAAAAAAAACAACAUUUUUCAUCCCCAGUAAGUGUUUUUUUUAAUAUGGGAGGGUGAAUAUAGAAUGUUAAAGGAUCACAUAUAGAUAAUAUACUUUGCUUUUUCAGAUUUGUUUAUUUAUUUCAUAGUUUCUUAAUUGUUGGUAUGAUGUCUCAUCUCGUGCUGCAGCUGCACUAGCAAAUGCUCUAUUUCUAGAUUUUAGUUGUAGAUCGAAGCAAAAUUGAGAGAGAGAAGAAGAAAGUAAUGUCAAGGUAUGGUAAUCAACAUGAUGAUAAUUUAAGUAACUAGGUGUAUUUGGGUUUUGAUGGUAAAGAUGAUAAAAAUGUUCUUCAGUUUAAGAAUGUCAUUGAAAAUGGAGAAACUUGGUUGUCGAGAGUUACUGAAAAAGAACAUCAUUUAACUUUUACUAAUGAAAAUAGUUUUAAAAAUGGUUCAUAUCUCUCUAAUAAAAAUCUUCCAUCAAAUGGUGCAACUGGUUUGCUUCAAAGUGAAAUUGUAUAUGUUCUGAAAGAGUAUGAUAGUUUAAAUUCAGUACAAGCUCUUCUUCUUGAUAAUACAAAUGUCAAUACAGGUUUCAAAACUGGAAUUGUUGCAUGUUUAGAAAAGAAAUUA
rnacentral:misc_RNA from 1 species